rnacentral:lncRNA from 1 species
ACCCAGCUCUUCACAGCACACUUUUUUCUUGGUGGAUCUCAGGUGUUCCUUCUGUUGGUGAUGGCCUAGACCACUUAUAGGGCCAUCUGAAAGUCCUUGCAGUAUUUGGUUGUCAUGAAGCAAUGGCUGUGUGUUGUGCUGCUGGUUGUGCUCUGGGCUGGAGGAUUUUUGCACACAGUAAUACAACUUGACCUUAUUCAUGGGCUCCCAUCUUAUGACCCCAAUGUCAUUGGUCAUUUUGUCUGUAACAUGGACCCCUUAAUGAAGCUUGUCUGUGACUAUACACUCAACAGAUUUGCCUAUUUUGCAGGUCAUGAUUUAAAUACUAGGUUUUAUAUAUUUCAUUUACAUUCAGACUGGACUGUUUCCUUUUGGUGAUUUGACUUUGUUA